rnacentral:rRNA from 1 species
UACGUAGGGUGCGAGCGUUGUCCGGAAUUAUUGGGCGUAAAGGGCUCGUAGGCGGUUUGUCGCGUCGGGAGUGAAAACCAUGGGCUUAACUCAUGGCUUGCUUUCGAUACGGGCAGACUAGAGGUAUGCAGGGGAGAACGGAAUUCCUGGUGUAGCGGUGAAAUGCGCAGAUAUCAGGAGGAACACCGGUGGCGAAGGCGGAUCUCUGGGCCAUUACUGACGCUGAGGAGCGAAAGCGUGGGGAGCGAACAGG